rnacentral:rRNA from 1 species
GACGAACGCUGGCGGCGCGCUUAACACAUGCAAGUCGAGCGAUAACCAUGGCUUCGGCCAUGGGGAGAGCGGCGAACGGGUGAGUAACACGUGAGCGAUCUGCCCUCGACACCGGGAUAGCCCGGGGAAACCCGGAUUAAUACCGGAUGGCCUCUCGAGCCCACGGGCUCGUUAGAAAAGAUGGCUUCGGCUUUCGGUCGAGGAGGAGCUUGCGGCGGAUUAGCUUGUUGGUGGGGUAACGGCUCACCAAGGCGACGAUCCGUAGCUGGUCUGGGAGGACGAUCAGCCACACUGGGACUGGGACACGGCCCAGACUCCUACGGGAGGCAGCAGUGGGGAAUCUUGCGCAAUGGGCGAAAGCCUGACGCAGCGACGCCGCGUGAGGGAGGAAGGCCUUCGGGUUGUAAACCUCUUUCAGGAGGGACGAAGCCACUCGGGUUAACAGCCCAGAGGGUGACGGUACCUCCAGAAUAAGCCCCGGCUAACUACGUGCCAGCCGCCGCCGUAAUAC